rnacentral:rRNA from 1 species
GACAGAGGGUGCAAACGUUGUUCGGAAUUACUGGGCGUAAAGCGCGUGUAGGCGGCCCUGCAAGUCGGGUGUGAAAUCCCACGGCUCAACCGUGGAAGUGCACUCGAAACUGCAGGGCUAGAGUCCUGGAGAGGAAGGUGGAAUGCUUGGUGUAGAGGUGAAAUUCGUAGAUAUCAAGCGGAACACCGGUGGCGAAGGCGGCCUUCUGGACAGUGACUGACGCUGAGACGCGAAAGCGUAGGGAGCAAACAGG